rnacentral:lncRNA from 1 species
GGGGGUUAAUCUUUUAACCUCAGGCCUGAUCAUCAGGGGCACCAGCUGGUCUUGCCACUGACUUCAUUCCUGUUGUUUUUCAACUUUUACUUCCUGCUCCUCUUCAGACAGGAGACAGUAAGAGAAAUGGCCUGUCUCCUCAGCGGCACAAUGGACUUUAGACAUCGCGCCUGUUUUGUACUCUCCAAGCCGGACUUCUCUACUCGCUGGCCUGGCGCUGAUGCCCAGAGGCCCCCUGUGCUUGUGGUCGUGGCCUUAGACAGUUCCCUGCCCUUUGUUCCAGCCCCGCCACACAGUCUGCACGGCCUCCACCACAGCUCUGGUGAGCCUCUUGGCCAGCUCCUGGUGACAGCGUGCACCUCCCUGCUCUGAGAAGGUCUCCCUCUCCUCUCUGCCCACCCUGUACAGAGACAUCUUUCAAG